rnacentral:rRNA from 1 species
CCUACGGGGUGCAGCAGUGGGGAAUAUUGCACAAUGGGCGCAAGCCUGAUGCAGCCAUGCCGCGUGUAUGAAGAAGGCCUUCGGGUUGUAAAGUACUUUCAGCGGGGAGGAAGGGAGUAAAGUUAAUACCUUUGCUCAUUGACGUUACCCGCAGAAGAAGCACCGGCUAACUCCGUGCCAGCAGCCGCGGUAAUACGGAGGGUGCAAGCGUUAAUCGGAAUUACUGGGCGUAAAGCGCACGCAGGCGGUUUGUUAAGUCAGAUGUGAAAUCCCCGGGCUCAACCUGGGAACUGCAUCUGAUACUGGCAAGCUUGAGUCUCGUAGAGGGGGGUAGAAUUCCAGGUGUAGCGGUGAAAUGCGUAGAGAUCUGGAGGAAUACCGGUGGCGAAGGCGGCCCCCUGGACGAAGA